AUGGGUACCGCAGGGGCCACGAACGAGGUGGAUACCCUGAGGGAAGUGGUGGCCGUGGCCGAAAACAAAGCGGCUACAGAGCGCACCGAGCGAGAGAAAGGGGAGGCGCCGCUGGCGGAGGUGCGGCAAGAGCUCCAGAUUCUCGUGGAGAAACACGAGGGUUUGGAGCAUGACUCAAAGACCCGAGAGUCCGAGCUUGCCUCGGCUCUUGAGAGUGCCAAAGCUGCUAAGGCCGAGGCCCAAAAAGCCCUCCAAGAAAUCGAAGCACUAAAGAAGAUAGCGGCGGGUAAGGCAUUCUUUAUGCAAAGCAAGAAUGUAAAAGUCAAUUACGUAUUACUUACCCGUAUUCGGAGCUCUCCAGGAGCAUUCGCAGAUUUGCCCCGUAGUGUGUCUGAUGCUGCCGCGUUCUACCGCGCCCAGGAGGGGAGCUCCACGGAGAAGGUGUUCUGGUCUCAGUAUGCUGAGGCCGGACAUCCGGUGCCCCUAAGCGACCAGCUGAAGCAGCUGGUCGAGCUCCACAAGGUCGCCGAACAGGCCAUGAGGGGCCUUAUAGAGCGGCUGUGGCCAUUGAAGGCCAUGCCCGGGAGCUACUUUGGCUUGGUGCAGCGGCUGGUGGAUGCCUAUCCGCGGCUUGAGGUUAUCAAGUGCUCCGUCUGCAUUGAAGGGAUCCGUCGGGCCCUUGCCUGUGCUAAAGUGCACUGGGGGAAGCUGGAUGCGGAGAAGCUUGUGACGGACGGGCCACCGAAGAGCAAGGAGCAUCGCACGCCCGAAAUGUAUUAUGAGGGCCUCUUGAAGGGUGCUCGCCGAAUAGCGGAUGAGUGCUCCAAGGAUGUAAUUUUUGAAUAG
rnacentral:rRNA from 1 species